UUUCACAAUCGACUCAAGCCAACAAACAGAAGCCGUGUUGAACGCUAAAAGCCGUAGUUUUUUUCACGUAAAAAGGCAGUUGAUUGAACUAAUUGAAUUAUAAUAUGUUUUAAUUCACGUAAUCACAACUUAAAAGAAAAACAGUAAUCGUUAGUAGAACGUAAACGUUGGCUUACAUUAUCAGCGAUAUCAUAUUGUUGAUUUUAGCACACAAAAAGUAACAAAAAAUACUGUUCAUUGUUCAAUUUAAUUUUAUACGAAUUAAUAUACCGUUUUGUUUCGGUAAGAGGUCUUUUUGCACACAAAAGUGUAAAACGGGGCGGUAGAUAAACAUAAAUCGAGCUAAUUUCCAACGACUUGACAAAUCAUAGUCAAACAAACGAUCCAAAAAGGCUAUAAAAAUUAUGAAAUGAGAAGAUAGAUUGGUUAA